UAAAUGGGUUUAGUCUUUUGUACCUUUCGAUGUAGCCUGAGUCCAUCAUGGAUAGUACUGGGUCCCGUGGAAGAGGGACUACAUUGUACUGUGGAGGGAUUGGGUAGCCCUGCGGCUGUGCCAGAUGAUGUGGUGGAGGCAUUGGAUUGUACUAUGGUGGUUCGAAAUGAUACGUAAAAGGAGCAGGGUUGUACCGGGGUGGCUCUGGAUAUUUUCACUGCAAGGGUGGUACAAAUUGUGGCAGUUGGGGAGGGUCAGACAACUCCUUCCUUUCCUCCCAGGCCUACUGGGUAGAGAUGAGUCUC
rnacentral:lncRNA from 1 species